ACUCCUACGGGAGGCAGCAGUCGAGAAUCUUCGCAAUGGGCGCAAGCCUGACGAAGCGACGCCGUGUGAGCGAAGAAGGCCUUCGGGUUGUAAAGCUCUUUCGCUAGGGAACAAGAGAGAUGGGAUAACACCCCAUUGAUUUGAUGGUACUUGGUAAAGAAGCACCGGCUAACUCCGUGCCAGCAGCUGCGGUAAUACGGAGGGUGCAAGCAUUGAUCGGAAUUACUGGGCGUAAAGGGCGCGUAGGCGGUAAAGUAAGUCGGAUGUGAAAUUCCGGGGCUCAACCCCGGAAGCUGCAUUUGAAACUACUUAACUGAGAGUACAGUUAGGGUAAACGGAAUUCCACGUGUAGCGGUGAAAUGCGUAGAUAUGUGGAAGAACACCGGUGGUGAAGACGGUUUACUGGGGCUGAAAACUGACGCUGA
rnacentral:rRNA from 1 species